GAAGUGUUAUAAAAAGAAAAAGGCUGCUGAUGUUUGUUCCACCUUCAGUAUGUGGUUUCACAACCAAAGCCACUGUCCCUGUGUAGGAACUGCUUCCUACAGUGGCAGCGGGAUCUGAAGGUGCAAGACCAGGGAGCAGAUUGCGAUGUGAAUGUGUUCUUGGCACCGAAAGUAGGGAAAGCAGAAGCUGAAGCAGAGAAAAAUGAGCAUUAAAAUCAGACUGAGACUUGAGGCAUCGAAGUUCACAAGACACAAGAAGGGACAAUGUGACAAUGUGAAUAUGGUGUUAGCAGUGUUGAUGCUGCAGAUGAAGAUAACCCUGGGAGGUGAUAGAGGAAUAGCAUGAAAAGACUGUCCUGGAUGACCAUGUAGAGUGGAGCCACUUUACCAGCGCUGAAAUGCUCACUUCUGUUAUAAGCGAGUGAAAUAAUCUUGUUUCUCAAACUGUAUUUUGGAGCCUCUUUGUUAUAGGAGCUUAACUUAUACCUAACUCAUAGCAGUUUAUUCUGUAGCUAGACUGUCUCAACAUGGUGGGCAGCCUCGUGGGAUCUGCUCAUGGACCAACCUGAACUGGAGGAUAAAGUGUACAAAGAACAACAUACAUUCACGACAAUAGAUUUCACAAACUUUCAUAUAAAAGAAGAAAGACAUCACCUUAAAAACAAACUUUUAUAUAAAAGACAGACGUUACCUGAAAAGCGUGCUUAUAGAAAAAACAAUCUAGUUUUUUAGUAUUAACUUAAUCCUCUUGGCAUUUUUAAGGAUUAAAAAAAUAAUGACUUGAAUAAGUAACUGUUCUAGUUAUCUAUUGCUGUGUAACAAACUGUUCUAAGACUUAGUGGCCUAAAACAACAGGGAUAAUAUUAUUUUUUUCUCUCAUGAUUCUGGGAGUUAAUUAGGCUCAGCUAGGUGGUUCCUUCUUGGGACCUCCAUUGAGUGGUGGUCAGAUAGUGGCUGGGGCCGGAUCAUCUCAAGGCUCACUCCAUUACACGUCUGGAGGUUGAUGCUGGCUCUUGGCUGCAACCUCAGCUGGGGCUAUUGACCAUAACCCCUUCCUGUGGUUCUCAAUGAGGUCUUUCCACUUCCUCAUGACAUGGUGACUGGUUCCAAGAGGAAAUGUGCUGUGGGCCCAGGUGGAAACUGUAUUGCCUUUUAUGACCUAUCCUCUGAAGUCACAUCACUGCUGCCAUAAUCAUAGACCUGCCCAGAUUCCAGGAGGAGAGGGCAUAUACCCUCUCAGUGGGAGGAGUGACCUCUCAAGGUCAUAUUGCAAGAAGAGCGUCUGGAAUGGGAGGUCUUGUGGUCAUGUUGGAGAGUACUAUCAGUCACAGUCCACCCUUUGGUCAUAACAAUUUAAAUUCCUCCCAUGUACAAAAUGCAAUUAUUCUGUCCCCUUCCACCGAGUCUCAUUCUAUUAAGGCAUUUGCUCAAAAACCUAGGUCUUGUCAUUGAAAUCAGGCCCAGGUGCAGGCGAGGCUUCUUGAAUGUGGUUCUUUGAGUGCAUAUUCCUUGGGUACAUUUGAAGGGCUGUGAACUAAAGAGACAGACUGUCUUCCUCCCACACCUCGACAUAGAGCUCUGGGAAAGUUCUCCAGGGUGGAACCAGGACGAGCAGUCACUGGUUUACAGCAUGCUUCCAGAGCCUGCAUCAGGGCUCAGUCUGCCUGCUGGGAGGUGCUCCUCACUACUCUUGGCUCUACCCUCUUGGAUCUUGGAUCUGCCCUCAGAGACAUCCUUGUUUUUUUUUUUUCCCUUGCUUUUUCUCCCCAAAUCCCCCCAGUACAUAGAUGUAUAUAUUUUGAGUUGUGGGUCCUUAUAGUUGUGGCAUGUGGGACGCCGCCUCAAUGUGGCCUGACGAGCAGUGCCAUGUCCCUGCCUAGGAUUCGAACCAGCAAUACCCUUGGCCUCCAAAGCAGAGUGCAUGAACUUAACCUCUCAGCCACUGGGCCGGCCCCCAUUUUCUGUCUCUUACUAAGAAAAGCUGAGUUUGCAAUUGAAUAGCCUUCUUAGCAUGUGUCCUGCCUGUAAAAAGGGUAGAGGUUCAAAGUUCUUUUUUAGAAUUUAGUAUUUAGUAUUUGUCUGUUCUGUUUAGCCCAAGCUGGCAGUGGUUCCACCAGAAUAAUUAUCUUAAAAACAUGGUGUGUUUUUAAGUGUAUCACUUUAUAAUCCUUGAGACACACCCUCCUAUUUCUUCAAGCUAAGCCCUUCUCUACCUUAGCUUCCUGUGAUGCUGCUGCCAAUUAUUUAACUGAGAGAAUCUGCAAGCCAUGCUCUCAAGAUCCUUAAAGAGCUUUUGGUCUGAUUGAAAGAUUCUGUGAGGUACCACGUUAGAUCUUUCUAAAUCUUAACAAACAGUUUUGCAGACAUGCCCUCAGUUUCGUUUUUAGACCCUGUUUUCCUGAUAGUGCUCUGGAUUUCGUCUCUGC
ensembl:lncRNA